GACGAACGCUGGCGGCGUGCUUAACACAUGCAAGUCGAACGGAAAGGCCCGGCUGUUGGCGGGGGCUCGAGUGGCGAACGGGUGGAUAACACGUGGGUGACCGGGCCUAGACUUUGGAAUAACGUCAGGAAACUCGGGCUAAUACCGGAUAGGAGCUCCAGCGGCAUGGUGGGGGGGGCAAAGUUUCGGCGGGUGGGGAUGGGGGCGCGGCUUGUCAGCUUGUGGGUGGGGUAGUGGCUUACCAAGGCUUUGACGGGUAGCCGGGCUGAGAGGGUGACCGGACAGACUGGGACGGAGCUGCGGCCCGGACUACUCCGGGAGGCAGGAGUGGGGAAUAUUGCACUAUGGGAGGAAGCCUAAUGCAGCAACGCAGCGCGGCGGGUGAGGGCAAUCGCGUCGUAUAGCGCAUCCGUCUGUGCGGAAGCGUGAGUGACGGUAAUGGGUAAAGAAGCACCGGCUAACUACGUG
rnacentral:rRNA from 1 species